GGGUGUGUAACAAUAAGGUUGCUCGAGUACUGUAGAGCCGGCGUUUGAGGGGUGGUUGCCGGCGUUUGAGGGGAGGUAUAGGAAUGGUAAUGAAGUGGAUUGGAGUUGAAAAUUACUUUCAUAUCUUGUCAAUGAGUUUGAGAUUUGAGUGGGGACUUCUCGUCGAGAAGUAGGUUGAGAUGUGUUUUUCAUGGAGAUUUUUUUUUUAAUUUAUUAUUAUAUAAUAU
rnacentral:misc_RNA from 1 species